AUGGCUGCAUUGACAGAGGGAGAGAGCUUCAGUCUUGAGGAUUUCAUGAGUGGUGGCAAUUGGAGGACACAGAAGCUUGUGACAAGAUCAUUACUCUUGGGAAGGAGUUGCACUAAGACCUCUUGUGUGUGUGCUGCUAUGUGCUAUGUUGACAUGCAGAACAGCAGCAGAAUGAGAACACAGUGGAUAGAUUUGAAUAAGUUUAACCAUGCACUGACAGUGUAAUUUUGGACAGAAGAGAAGAAUAUCACCUGUCCUCUGCUGGGUGAUAGUGAGAUUCAGAAGACCAUGGCUGAUAUUGUUGCCGACUUGGAUUCCAGCCCUUUAUAUGAUCCUUCCUCUUGGCUUUGGGUCACCCUAUUUUCCUUUUAUGAGUUUAUGUGUAUGAAAUAGAAUUAGUAAAAAAAGAUAAUAGGAAUAAUAAUUAUAACUACCUCACAGGGCUUUGAACAUCAUGUGUAGUAUCUGACAUGGUGUUCAGUAAACAUUAAUUUUGGUUCCUGCUUUAACCUUGGAAAGGCAGAGGCUUCCACUUUACAUACCUGGCCUAAUUACUAUGGGCAAUUUAAAAUAUUAAAUGAAGUGCAUAUUCAAUCCAUGCUAUUAGGAUUCAAUUUCAGACAAGAGUGAUAUAAUAGAGUGAGUGACAAAAAGCAAAUGGGUUGUAACCACUAAACCUCCAGCCAUCUGUGGAUCCUUGGUGACAAUAGGUAGUACUUGAAACUGCAAUGAUAAAGCAAUGCAAAAAUGUACCAACAGCUUUGAGAGGUGUGAAUAGAAUGUAUUGAAUUUGAGUCAAAGAGAAUUAUUCCACCAUUAUACAAAAGGACUAGCAGAGUCUCAUUUAGAAUAUCAUUUUCAAUUCUUAUCACUUCGGUGUGAAAAGGAUAUUGUAGCAAUGGAGAAAAUAAAUCAAAAGCAAUGAAAAUGAUUUGGGGAUUCAGUGAAUUUGGUGAUAGGCAAAAGCCAAAGGAUCUAGGCUUAUGUUGAUUAAGAUAGAUACAUAAGAUGAUAAAACUGAGUCCCAGCCAAUCCAUGAGAAGAUGAGAAGGAAAACAACCACAGAAUUACUCCAUUUGUGCUUAUGAGACAAAGGAUAUUGUUGGAGAGAAACUAAGAUUUGUGUAACACAGAAGCAAAUUUCCAAAGUCCUGGGGUUUAUAUACAUGGCAAAUGAGUUUUCUAGAGCUGUCAUGACAAUACCAUUGAAAUGGAUAACAUAAAUUUAUUCUUUCACAGCUCUGGAGGAAUGUGAUCUCUCUGAACGCUCUAGGGUAAAAUCCUUGCCUCUAUGUAACUUCUAAUGGCUGGGGGCAAUCUUUGGCACUCCUUGAGUUUCCACUGUACCUCUCCAAAGACUGCUUCCAUUUUCACAUGACUGUUCUUCCCUGUGUCAGUCUCUGUGUCUCUUCCCUUCUACAAGGACACCAAUUUUAUUGAUUUAAGGACCAAUCCAUCCCACUCUAGUGUGACUUCAUCUUUACUAACCAGUACUGUGAUGGCCUUAUUUCCAAAUAAUACAGCAUUCUGAAGUUCUAGGGGUCAGAACUUGAGCACAUAUUUUUGAGAGGGGGUUACCUUUUUUUGUUUGGUACUGGGGAUUGAGCUUGGGACCUUGUGCUUACAAGGCAUGCACCACUGAGCUAAAUCCCCGGCCUGGGUUACUAUUCAACAUAUAUCACAUUGAGAUAAUUCAUAGAGUUGUCCAUUGAAAAUAAUCACUCUCUGUUACUAGGAAAAAAACUGUGUGUGUGUGUGUGUGUGUGUGUGUGUGUAUUUGUGUGUUACUCCACUAAGAUCAGGAACAAAGUAAGAAUGUCCAUCUCCACCACUUAUUUUCAACUGUAAUCCCUAGUUAAAGCAAUAACAAAGUGAAAGUGAAUAAUUGUACAAUUUGGGAAAAAGACAUCUAAAAUAGUCUUUGUUCACAGAUGGCAUAAUUAUAUGAAAAAUACAAAAGAAUCUGAAAAAACUUUAACAAGUAAGUGAAUUUUAGCAAGGUUGCAGGAUACAAGGCUAC
rnacentral:lncRNA from 1 species